CAAUAGCGUAUAUUAAAGUUGUUGCAGUUAAAAAGCUCGUAGUUGGAUUUCUGGUAGGAGUGACCGUUCCGAACUUGAUUGUUCGUGUAUUGUGUUUUCUCCAGCCAUCCUUGUGGAGAACUUUUCUUGCAUUAAUUUGUAGGGAUUGGGACCCGCAUCGUUUACUGUGAAAAAAUUAGAGUGUUUAAAGCAGGCAAUCGCUUGAAUACAUUAGCAUGGAAUAAUAAGAUAGGACUUUGGUACUAUUUUGUUGGUUUGCAUACCAAAUUAAUGAUCAACAGGAACAGUUUGAGGAUAGUCGUAUGAACAUGUCAGAGGUGAAAUUCUUGGAUUUUGAUCAGACGAACUACUGCGAAAGCAUUUAUCAAGGAUGUUUUCAUUAA
rnacentral:rRNA from 1 species